rnacentral:miRNA from 1 species
AACGUCCAAUCAGAACGUGACAUG